rnacentral:rRNA from 1 species
GACGAACGCUGGCGGCGUGCCUAAUACAUGCAAGUAGAACGCUGAAGAGAGGAGCUUGCUCUUCUUGGAUGAGUUGCGAACGGGUGAGUAACGCGUAGGUAACCUGCCUUGUAGCGGGGGAUAACUAUUGGAAACGAUAGCUAAUACCGCAUAACAAUGGAUGACCCAUGUCAUUUAUUUGAAAGGGGCAAAUGCUCCACUACAAGAUGGACCUGCGUUGUAUUAGCUAGUAGGUGAGGUAACGGCUCACCUAGGCGACGAUACAUAGCCGACCUGAGAGGGUGAUCGGCCACAAUGGGACUGAGACACGGCCCAGACUCCUACGGGAGGCAGCAGUAGGGAAUCGUCGGCAAUGGGGGCAACCCUGACCGAGCAACGCCGAGUGAGUGAAGAAGGUUUUCGGAUCGUAAAGCUCUGUUGUAAGUCAAGAACGAGUGUGAGAGUGGAAAGUUCACACUGUGACGGUAGCUUAACAGAAAGGGACGGCUAACUACGUG